UUCCAGUAUGAAUUUGUCUAGCUUCAACUUCCAACGAUUGGAUCAUGUUUUAUCUUUCUCCGCAAGACCAAAGAGCCCAUUAGUAAAUAUUUGUUCCCAGUUUUUCAACAUCCUUCCUGAAUUGUGGACACUAGAACUGGACACAGUAUUCCAACAGCAGUCGUACCAAUGCCAAAUACAGAGGGCACCCCUACCUGAUCCCCAUAUUCCUUCACACCUGGACAGAAGGAAGCCACUGCAGCACUGUGCUCUGUUACACAGAUGGUACAAGAACCUGUCCUCCUUGGUCUUCACAAAUCCCCCUUUGUGUUCCUACUCUUCCCAGUGCAGAAGCAUUACAACAAUUGCAAUGCAUUGGGGGACAAAAUUUGUCUCUAAGAAAUCCUGGGUAUAAUGCAGCCUCAGAUUUUCAGUUACUGAAAUAGUUUCUCUGAAGUCUAGGCAUUUGGUUUCCUGUAUUCUAGUGGACUUACUCUUUGUAAAAUUAAUGUGGAGUGACAAUUAUAGAAGAGUUGGGAAGUGCCACCACAGCCAAAAGAAAAAUGAGAACCUUCACAACACUGGAUAUGGAUGUUGCUUGGCAGGAAAUCCUCAUGGCUCACUCUUUCUGUCAAGCAGGGAAAUAUGUCUGUACAAUUUUACCCAAUAGAAAAUGCAUCUCCCCAUCAGCAGCGCCAGAAAGUGACAAAACAAUCAAACUGUGGAAGAAUGACUGCCCAACAUUUUCAACAGAGCUCAGACAUUGCACCAGGGGAAAAGAACAUUCAUGCAAGAAAAAUAAACCCAGCAUAGUCAGAGAGCUGAAGGCCUGCUAAAGAGGGUGAUUGUCAGUCCUGUCCCAUAGAAAAUAUUCACUUCUGCUUCUGCACAGUGAGUCUAACAGAAAAAUCAAUAUUUUAAAAAAAGGUUUAUUUUCAUUAUUUUAAUAAACAUCUACCAUAGAUAUGAACUGCUCACUAACAACUUGUCCAGUUUUUCUACCAGCAGUAAAUCAAAACAUAAUUUAAGAAUAUAAUAAUAACUCAUGUUAGUGUUGGAGAGAAAUACAGCACAUUAAAUAAUUUUAUAUUAACAGA